CACGGAGGUGUUGGCCGCCGAGUCGAUGAUUGGACGUCGAUGAGAUGCCACGAAUAAAUAUGGUGAUCGCAGCUGAAAAUAUGAUGGAAGAUGGAGCAUUGACACACAGCACGUAACAUAACGAAUGUGCUUGAAUGGAA